rnacentral:lncRNA from 1 species
GAGCUCCUCGGUGUUCUGUGGGCAUAUCGCACCACCAAGAGACGAGCAACCGACGAAACUUCAUUCUCUCUAGCAUAUGGCUCUGAGGCGAUCAUUUCUCCCAAAGUCAUGAUGUCAAGCAUCAACACUGUACUACCAAAUUUGGAGUAGAACGAGAAGGAAAUAGCCACAAACUUAAACUAGGCAGAGGAAGAGCGCGAAAAGAUUAUCACCCACAUUGCGCCUAUCAGCAGCAGUUUCUCUCCAGCUACAACAAGAGGGCGAAGAUCCGGCAAUUAAAAAAAGAUGGCUCCCAUCUGGGAAGGCUAAGAAAAGUCUUCAUCACCACCGGCCGAAAAGGCUAAAAAAAGAUGGCUCCCAUUUAGGAAAGUCCGUAUAAGAUCAGCCGAGUAGGCAGAAAUGGUAGCUACACCCUCACUACUAUGAGCGACAAAGAAAUCGAAAAGUAGUGGAAUGCUUACAACCUGAUAAAGUACUAUGUGUGACCUCUCACCAUUCCUUAGACCCCGUUCAACACAAAUAGAGUUUAAAGACUCAAGCAGCUAGACGAAUAAGACCUCACGUGCUGAGGAUUAUUAGUUGUUAUGUCAUUAUUGCCUACCAACAAAGUUAAUAAAUUUCUCUAUUAUCAAUGAAGAUUGAAAGAAUUAUUCAUAAGCCUAGGUCGAAUGCAUAACAAACUGACCACCCUUGUGACAAGCAGAAGACGCCCCUGCCCUUGCAGACAUGGUGUGUGCUCUCCAAUUAAGAGAGGGUAAACUAAUCCGGAAUAUCCAGACAUGGAUGGGUGGUACGACUGCUCAAUUUCCCUAAAUGCAGUGACUAUCUAAGGCAGACGACUCCCAGAUUGGCCACGAUAAUCCUUUUCCUAGAUUAGACUUAGCCGAUUGAAGGAUUCAAUUUCGCAGAUUCUUAGGUCUCUAAUCGGAAUAGACGCUAAGUGCAGGAGUCUUGCCCAUGACAUAAUUCACGUGACUUUGAUGGUUCGUCCUUUGCUUUCGACAAGAAGCAGUUGCCCGGUUGCCUGCUUUAUAAGUUAAA